GUAGGGAAUAUUGGGCAAUGAUCGGAAGACUGACCCAGCCAUGCCGCGUGCAGGAAGACGGCCCUCUGGGUUGUAAACUGCUUUUAUCUGGGAAGAAAAAGGCCAUGCGUGGCAAAUUGCCGGUACCAGAUGAAUAAGCACCGGCUAACUCCGUGCCAGCAGCCGCGGUAAUACGGAGGGUGCGAGCGUUGUCCGGAUUUAUUGGGUUUAAAGGGUGCGUAGGCGGCUGAUUAAGUCAGCGGUGAAAGACUUCGGCUUAACCGGAGCAGUGCCGUUGAUACUGGUUGGCUUGAGUGUCGGAGGGGUACAUGGAAUGGAUGGUGUAGCGGUGAAAUGCAUAGAUACCAUCAGGAACACCGAUAGCGAAGGCAUUGUACUGGCCGACAACUGACGCUGAUGCACGAAAGUGUGGGGAUCGAACAGGAUUAGAAACCCCAGUAGUCC
rnacentral:rRNA from 1 species